rnacentral:rRNA from 1 species
UACAGAGGGUGCAAACGUUGCUCGGAAUCAUUGGGCGUAAAGCGCACGUAGGCGGCCAUCUAAGUCAGACGUGAAAUCCCCCGGCUUAACCUGGGAACUGCGUCUGAUACUGGAAGGCUUGAGUAUGGGAGAGGGAUGUAGAAUUCCAGGUGUAGCGGUGAAAUGCGUAGAUAUCUGGAGGAAUACCGGUGGCGAAGGCGGCAUCCUGGACCAUUACUGACGCUGAGGCGCGAAAGCUAGGGGAGCAAACGGG